UUAAGAAUAUUUUCUUCAUGAAUUUAUGAUUUUAUCCGAUCAAUUUUCUGGUAUUUGAGAUGUCAUAGAUAAGGAUCAAUAACUCUUUAACUGUUGGAUCAAAUCUAUUGAAACUUUGCACAAUAACUACUGAAAUGUAUAUCUUUAUUUUAAAAGUGCAGUUUUAAGUCUGGAAAAAAAAUUAAAGUCUGACAGGAAUAGGAUCCCAGUUACGGCAACCAGUCCGGUACCUACGAAUGUAGUUCUUAAAAAAAAUAUAUAACUUUUAUUUAAAAUGGUGUAGUUUUAUUAUUACACAAGUUCUGUAACUGAAUGUAGAUUUACUUGAAAGGGUAGGCUUUCUAGCUUGAAUUUCUGUAAAAAUUUUGAUUGAUUUAAAUGUAAUCAGGCGUCGGUACAUAGAGUAAAUUGCCUAAAUUCUAGCCUUUAUUCUUCCCCUGAAGUAGAUGGACCUACCCUGUUGUCAAUCGAAACAAAAUUUUGCAACGGAAUGCCGGUCAUGAGGCACUGAGAUUAUACUUAGAAACUUCAUAACAAAUGCCUAAAAUGAAACAGAAGUCCCAAGGCUGAUGUAAUGACAAUGAUUUCAUGGUGUUGGGAGUAAGAAUUGGAGAUCUGAUACUGCUAACAUGUUGGUUAGCAUCACAGCUUGUCCAUAGGGAUACUGGCUGGGGUAGCAUUUGGAUCUGUUUCAAGGUGUGUUCCUGCUGCUGCCUUGUGUGUUCAAUCCUGUGGACAAUAAUAAUCAUGCAAACCACAUAUAUGUUGCAUUUUUGUUUAUUAAAAUCCUUAAGUGAUAAUUCUGAAAGCCAAAUUAUUAAUUUUUUAAUGCUAUUAUUUAUUUUCCAUUUACUGUAAACUCACAAAUUUUUGUUUUUUAAUGCUGUUAUUUAUUUUCCAAUUAUUGAAAAUUCACAGAUUUUUGAUAUAUUUUUUUUACUGAAAAUUGCUACACCGAGAUAGAUUUUGCAAAAAUAAAAUUAUAUUUUAAAUUUUGAUAGCAUUAUUUAUUUGCAACAUGUCCUUAAUGACAAUAAUUAAUUUAAAUAAAUGCUUGCAAAUUUUUUUUGAAUUUACAGUAUAAAUAUGUUUUCAUUAUUUAUAUAUGCAUGAUAUUAUUAUACAUUGUAUUUUGCUUUAUAAUAAACAAAAUU